AGUCCGUGGUGUGGGCAACAUCAGAGCAAGUCUUUGUACCUCUCCCAAGCAUCAUAUAUGCUCUCGUCAUCGAACUGCAAAAAAAAAAAGAUAUGUCAUUUCUCAAUCU
rnacentral:snoRNA from 1 species